GACACGGGGAGAAAGAAACAGAUUGAGUACGAGAGAAGCAAUGAAAAUAUAUAAAAGAUAAAUAAGGCGAAAUCAAAAGAAUAGGACGGAGAGAGGGGAGGGAGAGUUUGUGAGGGAGAGCGAGUGAGAGAGAAGAGCAACGUGAGAGGAAGAGAGAAAGGAGUAGAGAAGGGAGAGCUUGAGCUUGAGCUUGUGCGCGUGAGAUAGAGGGACAGACGAGAGAGAGAGAAAGAGAGAGCGAGAGAGAGAGAGAGAGAGAGAGAGAGAGAGAGAGAGCAGUCGGGCCCAUUGAAGAAAGAUGGCUACAGUCACUGCGAACGGAGUGCAGCAAGAGAAUGGAUUCAGCACCACGAACAGCGCCGGCAGGAUGAACGGGCUCACAAUCGGACAGAACACCAUUCCCAUGAAGGACCACGACGCCAUCAAACUGUUUAUCGGACAAAUACCGAGAAACCUCGAGGAGAAAGAUCUGAAGCCCUUGUUUGAGGAAUUCGGGAAGAUAUACGAACUCACCGUGUUGAAAGACAGGUUUACAGGAAUGCAUAAAGGAUGUGCCUUUCUAACAUACUGUGCCAGAGAAUCAGCACUGAAGGCCCAGAGUGCGCUGCACGAACAGAAGACCCUGCCAGGGAUGAACCGGCCUAUCCAGGUGAAGCCAGCCGACAGCGAAGGACGAGGAGAAGACAGGAAGCUGUUUGUGGGCAUGCUGGGAAAGCAGCAGAGUGAGGAAGAUGUGCGGCGGCUGUUCGAGGCCUUCGGCCAGAUCGAGGAGUGCACCAUCCUGAGAGGGCCUGAUGGGGCCAGUAAGGGCUGCGCCUUCGUUAAGUUCUCCAGCCACGCGGAGGCACAGGCGGCCAUCAACACCUUGCACGGCGGACAGACCAUGCCGGGGGCCUCGUCGAGCCUGGUGGUGAAGUUCGCGGACACGGACAAAGAGAGGACCCUGCGCCGGAUGCACCAGAUGGCCGGCCAGCUCGGGAUCUUCAGCCCCAUGACCAUCCAGUUUGGAGCCUACGGAGCGUACACACACGCUCAAAUGAUGCAACAGCAAGCGGCCAUCAUGGCCGCCUCCCAGGGCUCCUACCUGAACCCCAUGGCGGCGAUCGCCGCCGCACAGAUGCAGCACAUGGCGGCUUUCAACGUCAACGGCCUCGUGGCUGCCCCCAUGACACCCUCCUCAGGCACCAGCACACCCCCGGGCAUCAGCGCGGCGGCCGUGCCUAGCAUAGCCACUCCCAUCGGGGUCAACGGCUUCAGCGCCCUCCCGCCCCAGAGCAACGGCCCGCCCACCUCCGAGGCCAUCUACACCAAUGGGAUUCACCCUUACCCAGCACAAAGCCCUACAGUUGCAGAUCCUCUCCAGCAGGCUUAUGCUGGCGUGCAGCAUUAUGCAGCAGCCUACCCCGCCGCCUAUGCGCCAAUCAGCCAAGCGUUUCCGCAGCAACCAGCCAUCAUUCCCCAGCAACAGAGAGAAGGGCCAGAAGGCUGCAACCUCUUUAUUUACCAUCUCCCGCAGGAGUUUGGAGACGCCGAGCUCAUGCAAAUGUUUCUGCCUUUUGGCAACGUCAUCUCUGCCAAAGUGUUUGUGGACCGGGCAACCAAUCAGAGCAAAUGUUUUGGCUUUGUCAGCUUUGACAAUCCCUCCAGUGCUCAGGCUGCCAUUCAAGCCAUGAACGGCUUCCAGAUCGGCAUGAAGAGGCUGAAGGUGCAGCUCAAGCGGCCAAAGGAUGCCAACCGACCUUACUGACCCUUCUGCCAUCCACACCAGGCAGGGCCAAUCAUAGCUCAAGAUGGGCUUCCCAUGGUCUAACCACCCUACCAGUCAUGGGUGACAUACUCCCAGACCUGAUGAAGGACCUCGAAAAAUAUUUCCACAAGUGCAGUAUAAGUAAAAAAGACUUUGUGCUCUGCUACAUAUCAUGAAGGAAGGGUGGUCGCUUGAUUAUUCGGGGAAGAAACCGAAAGAUUCGGCAACCGAGAUGUGGUUUUUCCAAACGUGCAUUUUUUUCCCCUGCCAAUCGUCCCUGUUUUGCAUUGGCAUUUCAGACAGAGGAUUUUGCCAAGACCAAGUUUUUGCUGCUGUUUCUUUUUUUUUUUCUUUUUUUUUUUUGGAAACAAAACGGAAAACCUUUAUAGAUACAUUAUGCUCAAAAGCAUGCAUAUGCAUACUGGCACAUAAAAAAACAAACACACACACAUACAUACAAAAACUAAAACACACCCACACACACACACACACACACCAGUACACACACAAGCACAGACAUGCAGAAACGCUCACACGUACACACGCCAGACCGCUGGCUUUUUAUUUUUGUGCCUACACUGGUGUUUUCGAUAUCUCCGGCUGCACAGCUGACAGGGAGAGCUCUGGAAGACAGGAACAAAGAGGAGAGGUGGAGAAUCCAGGAUUAUUUACCCGCAUCAUUCCUUAGGAAAUAGGGACCAAAGGACCAAACGCUUUUUAAAAGAAUAUAUAUUUAAAAAAAGAAAAAAAAACUCUUACCUUGUAGCUGCAAGUAUUACAAUUUAAUAGUAGUCAAAGUAAAGGAACCAUGAAAUCAAUGUCCAGUGGCCUAAGAAUGGAUGUGAAAUUUAAAAAAAGAUAAAAUAAAAAAGAUUUAAUAUGAAAAGUAAGGGGGGGGGUGCUGAAAAUGAUCUGGUAGCUGUUUUCUGUACCAGGUAGUUUAGAGAAGUAGCUUAGAAAACUAGAUUUUUUAAAAAUCAAAAGAUAUAAACUUUGUCAAGGAAGGAGAGAAAAGAUGGGGAACAAUAGUUUUGUCUGUCCUGGUGCAUCAUGGGACAUUAAUGAGAGGCCACUGGAUAUCUGUCUCAUUAUGAUGUACAUUUCAUCGCAACUAUCUGAGAGUUGCAAAUGGAGGGAAAACAAGACUGAAGACAUUUCAGUAUGCCUGUGCUGGGCAAGGUGCAGAUUUUUGUGGCUUCCCAUAAGCCUUUGUGUUCAAGCGACAAUCUACUGAGAAGACCAAGCAAAAUAGAGAAGGGUUUAUCUAUGGGUUUAUCUAUUUUUUUGUACCACAACAGGGAACUUGCUUGAAAGUCUUGAAACUUAUUGAAAACAGAAAAGGGUUCCACAACUGAGGCAACGGAUGCUGAAGAGAAAGACAUGAGUGAGUGAGGCGCUUGAUAGCUACUGAAACUGCCAUAAGAGCGGACUUGGCGAGAUUCCAGAAAGAAUUGGCUGCUCUGGCGUUCGUGAAACUCCUGGCUGAGCAAAGUGAAAGCAGGAUGUUUGGGUGAGGGGAAAGGCGCGGAUGUUUAUAUCAGCUGAAAUCCAUUCCAGGUCCAUCAAGUUGCUAUAAAACGGCACAAAAUCGAUGCUUGUUUCUCCUGCAGAUAUGUCCAGGUCUAGCUGCGAAGGCAAAUGUUUUAUAUAUGACCAAAAAUAAGCAUAAAUUGCCCUGUCCUGUAUAUGAAAACGGAGGAAGCUCACAAACAGUGUUGGCUGACAAGAAAAAAGUUUGAAGCGUGAAAGCUUUUAGAGCUAAUUCAGCUUUGUCAUUAUGUUAUGCAAAUGGUAUUAUGAAGAUGUUCCCUGACCUGCUUUCUUCACACUUUAUGUAACGAGCCUAUGGAAAAAAGCACUUCCAUCACGACAAGAUGUUGAUUUAAUUUGAGCCUCUCACUAAAUCUAGGCCAUUCCACAGCUGAAAGGUAGGAAACGGUUCUGCUCCACCAUCCAUCCCGUUCAGAACACAGCAGUCGAUCCCCCGAAAUGUUCACUAGAGUUGAGCUAAUGUCUUUGAACCUGAGGAAGUCUGAUUGGUAUCAUUAGCUUGGGAUGGAUUUGAGCUGUCUCAGGUGCCAAAUUUGCCAUUUUAUUUUGCGACAAGCUUGGAGGGGGGUGGCUGGGUGGGGAGAGGAACAGCUCUUCUGUCAUUUGGGAAGCUUCUGAAAAAACAAUUCAUAAAGCCAAACACCAGCUCUAUGUACACCCCUCAUAGUGUUGCAUCAGUGAGGGGGGGGGAGGGGGGUGUUGCUGCUACAUGGCAGCAUGCAAAUUGGGAUAAGGAUCAGAAGAGACUAGGGGUGGAGCACAUUCGAACACAUUUGAAGAAUCCCAGACCGACCUCCACCCUCCAAGCUAGCCACAAUCUAUGCCAUCAAGUUGGGUUCCACUGAAAAACCAAAUCCAAGCUAACAGACGUCCGGUCUCUAUUUUUCAAACACAGUGUUUGCUUACUGCUGGUGCCUGCGACGUGCCACGGCAAUGUUAAUAAGCAAAAUCAGUCGGUACACAACGAUGGCCCACUGCCUCCCACCCAGCCUGCUCUUGUUUACAUCUGGGAGUUUCUCUCCAAAGCUAAAAAGACACAUUCCCAGUUACCAUGGCACUGUUUGAAUGCCCUGGCUAUGCAUCAAAACAGCACCUGGGAAAAGCGGAUGCACCACUACUAUCAUCCUCUCACUGUUUAAAGAAAACGUGGUGCCAAGGUCUUUUAAUUGUUAUUUUUCUAUGAUUGCAUUUUGUUUUAUAUUCAUGUGUGUCUCACCUGAAAAGCCAGCUUCUGUAUCUCCUUGAUACAUAGUCUCAGAUAUUCUCCCUCUCUGCAGUUCUCCAGCUAUUUAGACCUCUGCAAAAACUAACUCACUGAAAAACCUGGCUUGGUGACCACUUCCCAAACAAUAUUUCAAACUUAAUGGAGAUGAGGGUUCACAAGGGCUUAUGAAACCAUUUUAAUCAAAUAUCCAAUAUUAGCAUGGUCCAAAAUGUGUUUUUUUAUAUCACAAAUGCCUUCUGUUCUUUACAAAUCAUUGUCUUGGAUCUUGAGUAUGUGUGAUAGAUACCGUUGACGACUAACCUUCAAUGUGGACAGAAGUAUGAUCAAAAUGCAUUAUUAGUCCUAAAUUCACUAGUUUAUCUGGUGGUAUUGAAACUCACUCGCUGGACACUAAUAAUGUUUCCGGAAUGAUCCCUGGCAACCAUUGCAGAAAAGAUUGAUGCUUGAUGAUGAUACACCAUAUACACCCUAUAUCUAAUGGCAACUGCAUUUCAGUUCAGGAACUUUAGUCCCUGAAUUUUUCAAUUGUCAGCAAUUCACAAUGAACCUGAGCAUCUGAUGAAUAAUAAUAUGCUUUAGUUUUGGAGUAAUUAGCAUGUUUAGCCUGUUUUUUGGUACAGCACCCCCAAUUGGUCAAAUUUCACUAAACUUGGUGUGUGUCCCCCAGGUCUCAUGGUAAGCAUGUGUACCAAGUUUGAUGCCAAUAGGCAAAAUGGUUGCAGAUAUAUGGCCAUUCUUCCUUUAUGGCACCUUUGUUGCCAAAUUCAUCAUUAUAUUGCAACCAUAUUGUUUGACCACACCGCUACCUUUUACCAGAUCUUAAAGAAAAUGGUCCAUAGAUGUAAUACCCAAAAUUUCUGCUGGAUUGGGCAAUAGCUAUGGGAGGAGAUGUCUAAAUGGGUUUUUGACAAAAUUCAAGAUGGCUGAACAGCAAUUUGGCUAACACCAAGUUAUAUGAUUUGCCAGUUGAUCAUUAAUUGCAAUGCUCCACAACAAGUUUGGUUGAAAUAUCUGCUUUUGUUGCAGAAUAAUCAGCAUAUACAUUUAGUAUAGUGCCCCAAGAAAUUUAAUGCAACCUUGCAUACCCCUUAGGCUCCCUGGCAAAAAAGAAAAAAGGAUACCAAGUUUUGCAUCAAUACAAGAAAGCUUCGCAGAGAUAUGGCUGACUUCCUGUUUGGUACUUUCACCUUCAAAAUAGUUUGUUUACCACAGCUAUAUUGUUUGACCUAGCAACUAUCCUUUAAUACCUUUUGGUACAGUACUCUCAAGAUGAUGCCUGCCAAGUUUGAGGUGAUCCAUAAAGUGGUCUAGGAGAUGUCUUUUAAAUAGUUUUCAAAAACUUCUAAAUGGUAGAAAAUCUAAAAUGGCGCUGAACCAUUUUGGGAGAGAUAUGAUUGCUUGAAUAUCAGAAAUACAAAUGACAGUUAUAGUUCCACCAAUUAGCCAAUCAGUGAUAAAAUCACUCUGUGGUCAUACGGAUAUUCCCUCUAUGAGAGUGCAAAGUUCAUAGGUCUAGGUCUGAUUAGGUCCAAAAUGGGAACAGAUGAAAAUUGCUAACAGCAUUUCUCGAAAUGGCAGUGACAAAUAAGUACAGAUAUAUGUUCCUGAUGAGGAAAUCUCUCUCUCUUAUCUCUAUAUAAGUUUUCAAUUUCUUAAAGGCAACAAUAUAGUCUAACCUAGCAAUUUAUCUUUAAAUUCAAAAUGACCAAAAAUUCUAUAUGGAAAUUGACAGAGGUGGAUGUGUUCAACUCAACAGGACCUAAGAAUCACAAAGAAAAAGGAAUCAUGACUCUUGGCCAAACAGUUAAAAAGUCUAGCAUUAACAGCAAAAAAUCUAGCAUUAACUUUGACUGUGACACUAAAGAGUCAGUGGAACUAACCCUAAACUUUGUGACUGAGUACCUUAGCCUGUCCUCUAUCAAUGAAAAAUCCACAAAGCAGUUCUAUGGACUGACAUCAACACCUAUGGUAGAAACUAUAAUUAUAGUGGGAAAAUCUAGCAAUUACAAUAGGUGGCUUCGCAUCAUUGGUUCUUGGCUCCUAAUAACGAUAGUAUAAUAACAGCAACAUUAAAAGUUAUAAUUAUAGCUUUGGUCCUCGGGCAUAUGUAGGCGUUUUCUCUCAAUGUACACCGUUUGGCAAAUGAGCAAAAACAUUCAAACUGACUGUAAAGUUUAUCAGAUGCAACAGGUUUAUUGUUUAAAUAUUUAGUUUCUGAAGGAAGAGAUUAUUACUGUGCAAUUGAGUCUGCCAGAAGAGUUGAUUUGGUGAUGAUUCACUUUGUCAAACCACCUUUGUUCUGAUGCAUAGCCUUCAGAAAAGUGAAUAAGAUUGACCGGUAAAGCGGGCAUUGAUCAGUAGUAAUACUGGAUAUUCUAUUAAAACUGCCCAGGAAGUUUUGUGGUGGAAAGAGACAAUGUUUGGUAUCUUCUUCCGAGAAUGUCGCACAGAGGGGUUGCAAUGGAAAGCAAUCGACAAUGCACUCUUUCGCUGGCCAAAAAAUAAUUUCCUGAGCCUUGCAGUAGCUUACAAAUAUGCCACUGAGCAUUUUCCAUUUCUUUUAUACAUAAUCUUCAACACAAAAAUGUGGCCCACCAUGCUUUUCAUUACAUAGAAUGUUCCCUUUCUGAGAUGUUGCCUUAUUGUGGCCAUUUUUCAGAAUAGACUGAAUGAAAAAAAAAAGCAAAGCAUAUUGUACAGCAUUGAGGAAAAAAUGAAAGUAGGGUACUGGCAAGCACUGUAGAUGUUCCGAAUCAAAAUUAUGUGCACAGAAUACAAUACAAAUCCACUGCCCUUGGAUUACAUCAGCUCUAUGUCAGUUACGUGGCCGUCCUUCACUUCAGCCUGCAAUUAUCAGCAAAUU